UACGAAGGGGGCAAGCGUUGUUCGGCAUUACUGGGCGUAAAGGGAGCGUAGGCGGACAUUUAAGUCAGGGGUGAAAUCCCGGGGCUCAACCUCGGAACUGCCUUUGAUACUGGGGGUCUUGAGUGUUUUAGAGCUAUGUGGAACUCCGAGUGUAGAGGUGAAAUUCGUAGAUAUUCGGAAGAACACCAGUGGCGAAGACGACAUACUGGAUCAUUACUGACGCUGAGGCACGAAAGCGUGGGGAGCAAACAGG
rnacentral:rRNA from 1 species